UACAGAGGUCUCAAGCGUUGUUCGGAUUCAUUGGGCGUAAAGGGUGCGUAGGUGGCGCCGUAAGUCAGGUGUGAAAUUUCGGAGCUUAACCCCGAAACUGCAUUUGAUACUGCGGUGCUUGAGGACUGGAGAGGAGACUGGAAUUCACGGUGUAGCAGUGAAAUGCGUAGAUAUCGUGAGGAAGACCAGUGGCGAAGGCGGGUCUCUGGACAGUUCCUGACACUGAGGCACGAAGGCUAGGGGAGCAAACGGG
rnacentral:rRNA from 1 species